ACAAAAAAUCGAGCUGGGGGGUUCCCUGGUCCCCGAUGUUGGGGCGGAGAGCGCGGCGCCGAGGGAGGGGGCGGCGCAGACCGGCCUAGGGGACACCUGGUCGAGCGCAGCCGCCGCUCCGCUCGAGCCCUGCGCUCCAGUGCCCCCACUGGCUGGAGAGCUCGCCCAGACCGGGGGUCUUCCUCCGUCGCUGACAGGUCAGUGCGCACCGCCCCUUUCGACUCUAGGCUGCUUUUCUCCCUCCUCCAGCCUCCACUUUUAGAAGGGAACCGGGGCGGGGGCGGGGGGCGGUAAGGAAAUAGAACGAGGAGCAGCAGCGACAGAAGGAAAAAAAAAAAAAAAAAGCAAAGCUGUAACCCCGGCGUGCACGGAGCGAAGAGAGUGAGGGGCUCCAGGAGGAGAUCUGCGCGUGGCCCCCACGGGAGACGGAGCUGGCAGAGCAGGCGGGCCGCAGGGUGAGAGGAGGGGGCUCCCCGGAGGCCGUGCGCGUCUCUCGGUCCCCUUUGAACGCAGACCUGCAGAGUCCGCCUGGUCCACGGUGGGAGGAAUGAGUGGAGAAUUGUCGCCGCCGCCACUGCACCCCCGAGGCCCACGCACCCUGAGCGCCUAAAUUUGGGGACAGGGUGGGAGGGGGGCACCCUGCGCUCAGGGAGCAAGGACCUGAACUCAGGAGCCCGCUGCUUCGCCGUUGGGGAGGGCGGAGCUGGCGCUGUUGACAGCGGUGAGGGAGCAGGGAGGGCGAAA
rnacentral:lncRNA from 1 species